rnacentral:rRNA from 1 species
AGUGAACGCUGGCGGUAGGCCUAACACAUGCAAGUCGAACGGCAGCACAGUAAGAGCUUGCUCUUACGGGUGGCGAGUGGCGGACGGGUGAGGAAUACAUCGGAAUCUACUUUUUCGUGGGGGAUAACGUAGGGAAACUUACGCUAAUACCGCAUACGACCUACGGGUGAAAGCAGGGGAUCUUCGGACCUUGCGCGAUUGAAUGAGCCGAUGUCGGAUUAGCUAGUUGGCGGGGUAAAGGCCCACCAAGGCGACGAUCCGUAGCUGGUCUGAGAGGAUGAUCAGCCACACGGGAACUGAGACACGGUCCAGACUCCUACGGGAGGCAGCAGUGGGGAAUAUUGGACAAGGGGCGCAAGCCUGAUCCAGCCAUACCGCGUGGGUGAAGAAGGCCUUCGGGUUGUAAAGCCCUUUUGUUGGGAAAGAAAAGCAGCAGGUUAAUACCCCGCUGUUCUGACGGUACCCAAAGAAUAAGCACCGGCUAACUUCGUG